rnacentral:rRNA from 1 species
CAUGCCUCAGUACGGCGAGUGAGCGGCACAGCUCAAAUUUGAAAUCUGGCCCUAGGCCCGAGUUGUAAUUUGCAGAGGAUGCUUUUGGUGCGGUGCCUUCCAAGUUCCCUAGAACGGGACGCCAGAGAGGGUGAGAGCCCCGUACAGUUGGACACCAAGCCUUUGUAAAGCUCCUUCGACGAGUCGAGUAGUUUGGGAAUGCUGCUCAAAAUGGGAGGUAUAUUUCUUCUAAAGCUAAAUACCGGCCAGAGACCGAUAGCGCACAAGUAGAGUGAUCGAAAGAUGAAAAGCACUUUGAAAAGAGGGUUAAACAGCACGUGAAAUUGUUAAAAGGGAAGCGCUUGUGACCAGACUUGCGUCCGGUGAAUCACCCAGCUCUCGCGGCUGGGGCACUUCGCCGGCUCAGGCCAGCAUCAGCUCGCUGUCGGGGACAAAAGCUUCAGGAACGUAGCUCUCUUCGGGGAGUGUUAUAGCCUGUUGCAUAAUACCCUUCGGCGGGCUGAGGUACGCGCUCCGCAAGGAUGCUGGCAUAAUGGUCAUCAGCGACCCGUCUUGAAC